rnacentral:tRNA from 1 species
GCCCGGGUGGCGGAAUGGCAGACGCAGCGGUUUCAAAAACCGCCCACCGCAAGGUGAUGGGGGUUCGAGUCCCCCCCUGGGCACCA